UAAACUAGGGAUUAGAUACCCUAUUAUUGAAAGUGUUUAUUAGUGGAUGAUUUUAUUUAGUUUAUAAAAUUGGCGGUUUCUUUUCUAAUUAGAGGAAUUUGCUUCAUGAAGGAUAAGACGCCUAAAGAUUUACUUUUUUUGGAAAGCUUUUAUACCGCUGUUUUAAAGAAAUGUUUUAAUAUUUCUUUUAUUAUUUAUUUUUCUAAUUUUAUUUAAUUUUGGUUAAAUAUAUAAAUAAUUCAAGUCUAGGUGAAGCCAUAAAGAAGCGAGAGUGAAUUACAAUAAAUAUUUUUAUUACGGAUAGAAAUUUUAAAAUUUCUUUGAAGGUGGAUUUAAAGGUAAAAUUUAUAUAAAAAUUUGGUUAGAGUUUGGAGAAAUGUACAUAUCGCCC
rnacentral:rRNA from 1 species